rnacentral:rRNA from 1 species
AUUGAUUUUAUGCUUGCAUAAAUGAUUUUUGGAUUCGGAGCGAGUGGCGAACUGGUGAGUAACACGUGGGUAACCUGCCCCGAAGCGGGGGAUAACAUUUGGAAACAAAUGCUAAUACCGCAUAAUUAGUCAGAACCGCAUGGUUCCGACUUAAAAGAUGGCUCUGCUAUCACUUCGGGAUGGACCCGCGCCGUAUUAGUUAGUUGGUGAGAUAAAAGCCCACCAAGACGAUGAUACGUAGCCGACCCGAGAGGGUAAUCGGCCACAUUGGGACUGAGACACGGCCCAGACUCCUACGGGAGGCAGCAGUAGGGAAUCUUCCACAAUGGACGAAAGUCUGAUGGAGCAACGCCGCGUGAGUGAUGAAGGGUUUCGGCUCGUAAAACUCUGUUGUUAAAGAAGAACAAGCAUGAGAGUAACUGUUCAUGCUUUGACGGUAUUUAACCAGAAAGCCACGGCUAACUACGUGCCAGCAGUCGCGGUAAUACGUAGGUGGCAAGCGUUGUCCGGAUUUAUUGGGCGUAAAGCGAGCGCAGGCGGUUUUGUAAGUCUGCUGUGAAAGCCCUCAGCUCAACUGAGGAAGUGCAGUGGAAACUACAAAACUUGAGUACAGAAGAGGAAAGUGGAACUCCAUGUGUAGCGGUGAAAUGCGUAGAUAUAUGGAAGAACACCAGUGGCGAAGGCGGCUUUCUGGUCUGUUACUGACGCUGAGGCUCGAAAGCAUGGGUAGCGAACAGGAUUAGAUACCCUGGUAGUCCAUGCCGUAAACGAUGAAUACUAGGUGUUGGAGGGUUUCCGCCCUUCAGUGCCGCAGCUAACGCAUUAAGUAUUCCGCCUGGGGAGUACGACCGCAAGGUUGAAACUCAAAGGAAUUGACGGGGGCCCGCACAAGUGGUGGAGCAUGUGGUUUAAUUCGAUGCUACGCGAAGAACCUUACCAGCUCUUGACAUCUUCUGCCAACCUAAGAGAUUAGGCGUUCCCUUCGGGGACAGAAUGACAGGUGGUGCAUGGUUGUCGUCAGCUCGUGUCGUGAGAUGUUGGGUUAAGUCCCGCAACGAGCGCAACCCUUAUUAUUAGUUGCCAGCAUUUAGUUGGGCACUCUAGUGAGACUGCCGGUGAUAAA